AUGAACGCUGGCGGCGUGCCUAAUCCAUGCCAGUCGAGCGAACGGACGAGAAGCUUGCUUCUCUGAUGUUAGCGGCGGACGGGUGAGCAACACGUGGAUAACCUACCUAUAAGACUGGGAUAACUUCGGGAAACCGGAGCUAAUACCGGAUGAUAUUUUGAACCGCAUGGUUCAAAAGUGAAAGACGGUCUUGCUGUCACUUAUAGAUGGAUCCGCGCUGCAUUAGCUAGUUGGUAAGGUAACGGCUUACCAAGGCAACGAUGCAUAGCCGACCUGAGAGGGUGAUCGGCCACACUGGAACUGAGACACGGUCCAGACUCCUACGGGAGGCAGCAGUAGGGAAUCUUCCGCAAUGGGCGAAAGCCUGACGGAGCAACGCCGCGUGAGUGAUGAAGGUCUUCGGAUCGUAAAACUCUGUUAUUAGGGAAGAACAUAUGUGUAAGUAACUGUGCACAUCUUGACGGUACCUAAUCAGAAAGCCACGGCUAACUACGUG
rnacentral:rRNA from 1 species